rnacentral:misc_RNA from 1 species
UUCUUCUUACUCUUGUAAAAAGCGCCAAACAAAUAAGUGGGCGAUUCUGCACUUUAGCUGCUGCUUUUAAAAAUGCUUUCAAUUACAUAUUUAAUAAUUCUAAACAUCUACUACCCAAUUCUAACAGUACGGAACUACUUUCGUCGCAUUGUUUACAAACAGCACGACCCCGUUACACGCCUACGCUCAAAUACCGAAGUCACAUGAACGUUGUUAAAAAGCAUGGUAGGGCACACUCAGCAAAGAAAGUCUACACAGUGCAUAUUCUUUGUCCUCAGUCCCGUAUGCAGGGAGAGAAAAUUUUGGUGUAGCACCAGCAAAUAUGUAUUAUUGUACAUAGAACGUUCUUUGGCACCAGGGCAAAGAAUAUGUAUUGUUCUUUGACCAGGGCGACUGGGUCCAAGCAAAGAAGUCCAAGACCGUACCCUACACUGAAUAAUAGUGUAGUUUGCGAAUGGUACAGGAAAAUAAUUUGUUUUCGUCAAAGAAUCUUCUUUGUUUUCGUCAUAAAAGAACAUCCAAAAGUAGCGCUAUUUAAUAGUUCGAGUAAUCGCGGCAAACAGCGGAAUUUGGAUUAGUUACUUUUCGUAUCACAUGUUAUCGGUAACCGUUGUACAUUUCAGUUUUGAGUAGCGUACGGCGCAUUGGUGCGGUAAAUCAUCAAAUUUAAUGUUAUGAGAAGAUUUUAUCGAAAAUACUUAUUUUUGUGUAUAGAAGGUUUGAAAAAUUUUAAGUCAUGGUGUUGUAGUGCAGCCUUAGAUGCAUUCCAGCUGAAUUUCAUUUGCAUUGAAGCAUAUAAUUAUUUCAUCAAACAAAAUUGCAAUUAUUUCCUUUUUCAUGCAGACAUAUUUUUAGAGUGAUAAUGUGGCCUAUAUGCAGUUCAGCAGGAUUUCAUCUGCUUCUAAAGCUACUGAUAUAUCAGAACAAAUGAAGCAUCAUAGUGGUAAUCUGUUGUGUAGAACACUCAACAAAAUUUGGAUUGAUAUGUGACAAAAAU